AGUGAACGCUGGCGGUAGGCCUAACACAUGCAAGUCGAACGGCAGCACAGUAAGAGCUUGCUCUUACGGGUGGCGAGUGGCGGACGGGUGAGGAAUACAUCGGAAUCUACUUUUUCGUGGGGGAUAACGAAGGGAAACUUACGCUAAUACCGCAUACGACCUACGGGUGAAAGCAGGGGAUCUUCGGACCUUGCGCGAUUGAAUGGGCCGAUGUCGGAUUAGCUAGUUGGCGGGGUAAAGGCCCACCAAGGCGACGAUCCGUAGCUGGUCUGAGAGGAUGAUCAGCCACACUGGAACUGAGACACGGUCCAGACUCCUACGGGAGGCAGCAGUGGGGAAUAUUGGACAAUGGGCGCAAGCCUGAUCCAGCCAUACCGCGUGGGUGAAGAAGGCCCUCGGGUUGUAAAGCCCUUUUGUUGGGAAAGAAAAGCAGCAGGUUAAUACCCCGCUGUUCUGACGGUACCCAAAGAAUAAGCACCGGCUAACUUCGUG
rnacentral:rRNA from 1 species